AUUGAACGCUGGCGGCAGGCCUAACACAUGCAAGUCGGGCGAGAGGCGGACGGGUGAGUAAUGUAUGUGGAACUGCCUGAUGGAGGGGGCUAAAUACUGGAAACGGUAGCUAAUACCGCAUACCAUCGGAUGUACCCAUAUGGGAUUAGCUUGUAGGUGAGGUAACGGCUAACCUAGGCGACGAACCCUAGCUGGUCUGAGAGGAUGAUCAGCCACACUGGAACUGAGACACGGCCCAGACUCCUACGGGAGGCAGCAGUGGGGAAUAUUGCACAAUGGGCGCAAGCCUGAUGCAGCCAUGCCGCGUGUAUGAAGAAGGCCUUCGGGUUGUAAAGUACUUUCAGUCGGGAGGCGUUACCGACAGAAGAAGCACCGGCUAACUCCGUGCCAGCAGCCGCGGUAAUUC
rnacentral:rRNA from 1 species